UGAUAAGAAUUUCAUGUCUUUUGUAUUAAAGAAUUAAAUGGAUGAAAUAUGAAGUUUUAUUAAAAGAAAAAGGGGUGAAAAGAACAAAGUUUUGUCCAUCUUUGUUCAUCAUAGCUGAAAGUUAGAGAAGAGAAAGGAGAGGAGAAAGCUCUUGAGUAUUCGGUCAUUAGGAGGAGGAAAAUUGAAGGCGGUUCGUGUGUGGAUCUCGUCAACAUAUCGUCGCAAACAGAUGUGUAACUAACACCCUCUUUCUUAGUCUAGAUCGGCAAAAGUCGAAAAGCCGAAAUGCCAAAAACCGGUAUUUUGUAGAUUUGCGAGUGUGCGAAUGCUCGUGAGGUAAAUCGAUUAAUGUUUUUGGUAAGCUGCAAAAUUUGGACUGCAAAGUGCAUGAUUUCUGUGCCCUCGAUAUUUUUGGGGUUAAUGGGCCAAAAUUAGAAUGAUGGGCCAACGGGCCCAAUUCGGUAA